GAUGAGCGCUAGCUACAGGCUUAACACAUGCAAGUCGAGGGGCAGCAUGGGGUUUGCUUGCAAACCCUGAUGGCGACCGGCGCACGGGUGAGUAACGCGUAUCCAACCUUCCCGUCACUCGGGGACAGCCCAGCGAAAGCUGGAUUAACCCCCGAUGUUGUCAUAUGAUAGCAUUAGAGUGUGACGAAAGGCUAACGGUGACGGAUGGGGAUGCGUCUGAUUAGGUAGUAGGCGGGGUAACGGCCCACCUAGCCGACGAUCAGUAGGGGUUCUGAGAGGAAGGUCCCCCACAUUGGAACUGAGACACGGUCCAAACUCCUACGGGAGGCAGCAGUGAGGAAUAUUGGUCAAUGGGCGAGAGCCUGAACCAGCCAAGUAGCGUGCAGGAAGACGGCCCUACGGGUUGUAAACUGCUUUUAUGAAGGAAUAAAGUCACCCACGUGUGGGUGUUUGCAUGUACUUUAUGAAUAAGGACCGGCUAAUUCCGUGCCAGCAGCCGCGGUAAUACGGAAGGUCCGGGCGUUAUCCGGAUUUAUUGGGUUUAAAGGGAGCGUAGGCCGCCUGGUAAGCGUGUUGUGAAAUGUCGUUGCUCAACAACGUCACUGCAGCGCGAACUGCCGGGC
rnacentral:rRNA from 1 species